UACAAUUUAUCUGUGAAUUGUGAUAGUGCUCCACAGCUGAAUAGAAUGCCAUGGAACCUAACAGAGCAAAUUGAUUAAGAGUGUUAGCACUGGAACAGGAAAAAAUCUUGGAGUAGCAGGAUAUAUUCCUGCUAUUUAAGGUGUCUCAAGGUGAAACAAGAAUGUGAGGAUUAGAAGAGUCUUUAUCAGAGUGUCCAACAUCCCCUCUAUUGUUUCUACAGCCACGCCUCAAGCAAUAUCAAUGCCAUCAUGGACACCUGCUCACAUGCAGGCCUUCCCAUGCUCUUGUUAAUCCUGGUUGAAGAAACCUGGCAAGGAUAUUCAUCUACUCCUUCAGUCUGGUAAGAAUUUUAUAUA